GAAAUGCGAUAAGUAAUGUGAAUUGCAGAAUUCCGUGAAUCAUCGAAUCUUUGAACGCACAUUGCGCCCUCUGGUAUUCCGGGGGGCAUGCCUGUCCGAGCGUCAUUGCACACCCUCAAGCGCGGCUUGUGUGUUGGGCCUCCGCGUCCCCCGUGUUCGGGGGGACGGGCCCGAAAGGCAGUGGCGGCGUCGCGGUUAUCCGAUCAGCCAGAGCGUAUGGGGACUCCGUUCACACGCCUCCGGUGCGGACCGGCGCCAGCCCGAUCUUCUUUUUGUAACAAGGCUGACCUCGGAUCAGGUAGGGAUACCCGCUGAACUUAA
rnacentral:misc_RNA from 1 species